ACCAGCUCUCAGGAAACAUCGCUCCUCCCGAUCUCCCGUCGAAAAGAAAAACGCAGGGACGAGUCGCUCCUGUCUCCUAGCCCCUCACGCGCUAGGGUUCCUCACGCCGCCGUCGUCGCCGCCGCCGCAUGGGUGUUCGUCGACUGGCCCUGCCUCCGGCCGCCGCCACUGCAGCCGCCCACCUCCAUCCUCUCCCCAACCUCGUCGGCCUCCAAUCCACUCCACUCCUCCGCGGGCGCCACCAAACCGCAGCCGCCCUCUCCCCGCACCCGUACCCAAGGACUCAGCCGGCGGCCAGAUCCGCCCCUCCCACUCACCCAACUCUCCCUCAGUCACCGCCAUCUAGGCCUGCUGAUUUCGGCGGCGCCUAGAACACUCCUCCUGUGCUUGCCUCGCCCCGCUGCGUGCCUGCGUCCACCCAUCCAGCUGGAUUCGCCGCUCCUCGGUGGCAAGGGCUUCGAUCGCCUCCAACUCCAGCGGUUCAUCUCCGACGCCUACCCAGCCUCCACGCGCAGCUCUGUCUCCUGGAUGGACUUUCCCUGGUCGAGGACGACCGGUUCUUCCUCAACCUCCAAGGAUGCGCGCAGAGGUGUGGAGCCUGGCCGGAGAGAUGAGGAAGGGCACUCGGAGGCAGAGCACUGGGAGGGGAUUGGAGGGGCCUAAGGUGGACGGGUGAGAGGGCCGAGUGCCUAGCGGCGUCAGAAACAACGACAGAUAUCUGGGGCGCCAUCAUCUGUAUCAUCGGGCUGCCCAUCUCGUGCAUCUGCCCGUGCUGCCUGUGCGUGACGCUGCUGCUGGAGGCGGCGGUGGAGCUCGUCAAGGCGCCGCUCCACGUCAUGACGUGGUUCACCUCCAAGAUACCCUGCUGAUUCCUCGGUGACCAGGGACCGCUCGCUCGCCCCCUCUCUCAUGGCUUAGCCGGCGUUGCACAUGCCCCCGCUGAUUCUUGUUGUUCCCCCCCUCGAAACAUAAGUUCGCAGAUUGAUUGCUGUAUAUUCGUACCAUGGCUGAUGAUUCCUUCUCCUUUUUCCCCUUUGGUUUGAUCGUUCCUGUGAUCCCUUCCAGGCGUCACACCACUGACGACCAUGCCGCCAGCAUGGAUGGCAUCCGUCUCUCGGCCAUCGUUGCAGGUGCGGGCUUCUCGCUCAAAUGUGAUUAACGUGAUGAUUUCCAUCUCCAUGAUUUAAUGCCGCGUGCACCUAGCAAUAUUAGCUCUUAGUUUCUCCUAAUGCGUUACCUCCCAACUCACAUAGCCGGGCAAGCCGCUAGAUGCCUGACUUUCUGAUCUUGACCCAUAUGCCUUUGGGGCGGUGCGCAAUACACUACGGAGCAUGUGGGGAAGAACUGCAGCAUCUAGGAGUUGUUUCAUUACUCAUGGGGACGUGUAUACAUUUCAAUUGGAAGUUCGACGGAGCAGGGUACCCUAUGAUGCAAGAGGAUGACUGUAAAAACAUUCUAUAUCAAAUUAAGUGUAAUCCUUUCCUUUGUUUGUACUGCAAUGUGAUUUGUAUUAUUGGUGUAUGAACAUGCAAAUUGCUAUACAUUGUAUUUGACCUGACAUUAUUUGUUUUCCAAUUGCAGCUUUGGAUCAGGACUAAUCUAUAGCCCAAGGAAGAACUUGAAUUCCAAGGUGAGACGCACCAUGUAUGCUUCCUCCUCGAAUUUAUUUCUUGUUUUUUUCUUGGGGAAUUUCAAUGGGGCAGACACGAUUAAUAACUCUUAUUCAAAUGUGGACGUAUGGUAGUUGAUAUGCUUGACGGCGCCGCUCUGCUGGUCGGGGUCUAUAGUUAUUUAACAGCUUAUUAUGAAUCAUUAGAACUAUAGUAUUUUACCUUGAUGUUGUCGGUUCUACCUUCUAUUAACUAGCCCAGAGGUAGAUUUUGUGUCAGUAUUAUUUAGUUGUUGGUGUUCAGUAUUUUGUUUGGUAGUGGCAGUGCAAAGUUCGUCAUCUUUUUUGUUUGGCAGUACAAAAUAGUGACAUCUUGAUGUUGAUGCAAGAUUGUUUUCAGCUAGACCUCUUUGAUUUGUCAUCAUUAUUCUAGGAAUCGAAGAUGAUAUUUUAUACAUUUCAAUUGCAUAUGCAAUGCAUCAAAUUUCAUAGAAACUAGAGAUAAUUUGCCCCUAUCGGUUUGUGUAUUGUUUUUUCAGUUAUAAGUUGGCUAGCCUAUGUUGCAACAGAAAAAAUGCUGACAAAUACACUGAUAUCCAGGGGAAGGUAGGAUCUUAACGGAAUUAUGUUCAUAUAUAAAAUGGACUAUUCCCAGUAAUACAUUUAAUAAUUCCGCAGGAGUAGAUAUUGUGUGAAGGAAAUAAGUUCCUAAGAAGGAAAGUAAAUCCCCUUGUGUUAUUCUCCUCAGGAAGAUAUAAGCUUAACUAUGGCAAUUUUUGCACACACCUGUCUGAACUUAGAUACUGCAGAGAGCAUGCAAUCUGGUUCUCUUUUUUUAAAAAGUUAAAGCCAUGUACUUGCUUAUGAAUGUUCCUGUUGUUUCAAACCCAUAAACUUAAUAUUGUGCUUUCAGGUUUAGGAUUCCCACUGAGUAAAAGUCAAUCCUACUUAAUGUUGCAAUAUAUGUUCAACAUUAAGGAAAAUGCAUUUUGUUUGAUCUAUGUAUGCUGUUUGAUUAGCACCUGAAAUCUUGUUAAAGCAUAUCCAUUUCCUUGCCAUUUUUUCAGACUGUCGCUCACGUUUCACAUUGCUUUCUUUAGUUAGCUCAAAUAGGAAAAAAUUCGCAUUCUAAUAUUACAAUAUAUCUUAACUUCCUGUCACACAUGGAAAUCUUUCCUCCAUAGAUAACUUGGUUUGAUGCAAUACGUUCUUACACUAAUCGUCUAAUAUAUCUUGCUAUGGAUUGGAGAAUGGCGAGCCCAGCAAUACUAGAAACGCCAUGGUGUUAGAGUAUAAGCAGGGGCGUAUAGGUGAUGUAGGCAUAUGGAUGUAGGAUCACCGUCCACAGGUGACGUAGGUGGCGAUGAUGACCAACUUAGCCAGGUACUUGAGCAAACUUUCCCAUAAACAUGUACUCUCCCGACUUCAAUCAAUCCGACUCAGUCUUGAGAGAGUACACAUAAUGUAGGUCGGUUGUUGAGAGCAGCAUGUUCGUACAUGAGGAAUUUGAUUUAUCGGCUUCAGGUUUUGUACGUACAGUAUGUGCUAAGAAUUUUUAUGGGUAAGGUAAUCAAUCUUAGGAGAGAAAGGAUUGUUGGCAUUUUUAUGGGUAAUCAAUCUUAUGGGAAAGAACUGAUUUUUGUCUCUACUGAACAGUAGCACUCUUAACCUAUUUGAACAGAAAAUUUCAUGAACAUAAAAGCAGUAGUGACUUGACCAUGCAAUAAGCUAAAUUGUUAUUAUGGUUUUUGUUGUAACAAGUUGAAGUUAUUCAAAUGAAAAGUUGAAGUUUCUGUUAGCAGCAUCAACUUCUUUUGAGAUGUCAGAAAAAACUUCAGUUCAAGAUGUAGGAACAAUCAGCCAGCUUAACUGUCAGCCUAAAACUAUUCUCUGUUGCAGUUCAGUUAUGUCAAGCUAUUAUAAUUCCCUCAGCAUGUGCAUUCAAGCAUUCCACUAAUUUGCACAUUGAAUUGCAAAUGUAAUUAAAUGAGGUAGGGUAUGGAGGGUGCUUGUCAGGGAGGCGUGCAUCCGCUUCUUUGGGUGGGAUGCCAACUAUAGCAGCUUUGGGACGAUGCCCUUGGUGGUGAGGUGUGCAUGCACCGCUUGGUAAUGAGUCGCCAACAACAUUGGGCAGGGGCUUUAGGUUUGGCGUCUGCACUACACUGCCGCGGUGGUGACGAUGUUGAGUGCCUCAAUGGUGUGUGUGCGCGUGUGUGUGGAUGACAUUCCAGUUGAAAACGUACUAAUUCAUGAUGUACCGGCUGAGAUUAUCUACACUCCAACUCAGGUCAUCUUAAAAAAAGACUACAUUCCCAAAGCCAAUUAUGUAGUAAAAAACACUCAUAGAAGCUUUUGAUUUUUGUUUACUCUGCUCUUCUUGCAUAAUUUAAGUUUUGGACCCAAUUCCUGAGCAAAGAAUGCUAGCUGCCAAAUGGCUUUGAGAGAUAUGUAGUAGAGUAUAUUGAUUGAUGUUUUGAGAGAAGGAGGCUAUAUAAUUUAAUCACAAUGGACAAGCUCAUUUUACUUUUACUAUGGCAUAUGCUUAUGCUUGAUUUUUUAUUGCCAGAUGAGAAAGCACGAUAAGAAUCUGGGUGAUUUUUUGAAGGUUCAUGUGUCAGACAUGCCUCUUUUCAAUUUUUCUGACAAAAAGUAAGCUACUUAUUUGGAUUUAAUCUCAGAGAUGUACCUUCUUAUCAGUUUCUCCUCAUGCUGCUACUUUAUCAGUUCAAUUUGAGAAGCACAUUGUUUAUGUGCCUAUAUAUGGUAUACUAAUAUGCACUUAUGGAAGUCGGUUGCUAUAGAUAAAUGGAUCAAAAAUGAAAUACACACUACUGCUACCAGAGUACAUUCCAUCACAAUGGACGUGCACCUAUAGUCAAGAGUAGGCCGUUGUAGAUAAAAGUGAUACUGUAGGAGAUAGCAAGUAUGAGCAUGAUCUAACGAUGGGCCAAUGUUAUUUUUCUGUGAGGGAGAAACACUUGUGAGAAUAAUGCAUAGUAUAUUUUCCUCCCGUUGCAACGCAUGGGCAUAUUUACUUCAGACGGUGAUUAUAAAGAUGCAACCCCCGGAUACCGGAGGAAUGUCUUGUGUGCUAUGGUCAAAAGCGGGUCCCAAUGCGGACGGUGAGCGAGCGAGCGAGCGUCCGUUUCGUGUCCGUGUGGAUGCAAACCAGACGCAAAAUUGAGCCUGAAAUGUGUCCAUGCGGACACUAAGUGGACAGACUUUGCAAAUGCGAGCGCGCGUUAGGCCAUUGCAUCUGCCUGUUUCGGUUGAAAUGGUCAGAAGCGGAUCAUUUGGGGUCGUGCUUGGAGUUAAUCUUAGCCACUCAAAGAAAAGAAGGAAGAGAAAUCUGAAGAUUUUUCUCAGUAGCCAUCCGUUUUUUUAGUUGAGCCAUCUGCUUAUCUAACCCGUUCGAUUGUUCCUAUUUAUGUGGACUAGAUAGAAUGAAACGCGACUAUAACAAGUUUGGUUGUUGUGAUGACAUCUGGCGGUUCUUAUCUCUAGCUAAGAGCAUCUCCAAUAAAUGGUCCAAGUUUUGGUGGUCCAAAUCGGUGAUGGUGCAAGUUUGGAGCACCAAAAAGUGCUUUUUACAUCUUCAAAAAAAGGCUCAACUCCAACGGAUGAUCCAAAACGGAGAUGUAAAAAGAAAGAGCAACUCCAACAGAUGGUCCAAAACGCAUCCAAAACGGAGAUGUAAAAAGAAAGAGCAACUCCAACAGAUUGUCCAAAACGAAGAUUAAAACGGUCAACUACUACUUCAUCUCAACAUAGUUCAAACAUGAAAUUCAACAUAGUUUCAUACACAAAUUCAACUACUUAUUCGAACUA